rnacentral:rRNA from 1 species
UACGUAGGGGGCAAGCGUUGUCCGGAAUUAUUGGGCGUAAAGAGCUCGUAGGCGGUCUGUCGCGUCUGCUGUGAAAACUCAGGGCUUAACCCUGAGCUUGCAGUGGGUACGGGCAGACUAGAGUGCGGUAGGGGAGACUGGAAUUCCUGGUGUAGCGGUGAAAUGCGCAGAUAUCAGGGAGGAACACCGGUGGGCCGAAAGGCGGGUCUCUGGGCCGUAACUGGACGCUGGAGGAGCGAAAGCAUCGGGGAGCGAACAGG